rnacentral:tRNA from 1 species
ACAUUGUUAGUAUAAAAAUUAUUUUACUUUUCCAAAGUAAAGAUCUAUAUUAGUAGACAAUGUA